AACGUAGGUCACAAGCGUUGUCCGGAAUUACUGGGUGUAAAGGGAGCGCAGGCGGGAAGACAAGUUGGAAGUGAAAUCUAUGGGCUCAACCCAUAAACUGCUUUCAAAACUGUUUUUCUUGAGUAGUGCAGAGGUAGGCGGAAUUCCCGGUGUAGCGGUGGAAUGCGUAGAUAUCGGGAGGAACACCAGUGGCGAAGGCGGCCUACUGGGCACCAACUAACGCUGAGGCUCGAAAGUGUGGGUAGCAAACAGG
rnacentral:rRNA from 1 species